rnacentral:rRNA from 1 species
CUGAUAAAAUACUUGUUUGUGUUUUUAUCGCAGCCCACCUCGAUUGCCAGCUAUAACCACCUAGGCAACAACAACGACAUGAACAUCUCGACAACGCAUGUAUUUCGGUCCAAAGAUAUCUCCAAGAGCGGCACGGUGGAUGACAUGGUCGUCAACAACGGCAUCCUUUACAACCCCGGGGAGCAUCCCGACCACGUCAUUGUGAUAAAGUACAUGUCGUAUGUCAGGGAUAGCAAGAGGGCCAUGGACGAGUACUCCUCUGAGAUCUUCAUGGGUGGCAGGAACACCACCAUGUUGCACAACAUCCGCGAGGACUCGCUCCUUGCCGCACCCAUCAUCCUUGACCUGGUGCUCCUAGUUGAGCUCAACACAAGGAUCCAGCUGAAAGCCCAAGGCCAGGAAAAGUUCCAUUCUUUUCACCCGGUGGCCACCAUCUUGAGCUACCUCAGCAAGGCCCAUCUUAGGUUCCCAGGGACACCGGUGGUGAAUGCGUUGGCCAAGCAGAGAGCCAUGUUGGAGAAUAGGGCAUGUGUCGGGCUAGCUCCUGAGAACAACAUGAUGUUUGAGCAAAAGUGA